CCUACGGGCGGCAGCAGUGAUGAAUAUUGGUCAAUGGGGGGAACCCUGAUCCAGCGACGCCGCGUGAGUGAAGAAGUAUUUCGGUAUGUAAAGCUCUAUCAGCAGGGAAGAAAGAAAUGACGGUACCUGACUAAGAAGCCCCGGCUAACUACGUGCCAGCAGCCGCGGGAAUACGUAGGGGGCAAGCGUUAUCCGGAUUUACUGGGUGUAAAGGGAGCGUAGACGGCGAUGCAAGUCUGAAGUGAAAGGCGGGGGCCCAACCUCCGGACUGCUUUGGAAACUGUAUGGCUGGAGUGCAGGAGAGGUAAGUGGAAUUACUAGUGUAGCGGUGAAAUGCGUAGAUAUUAGGAGGAACACCAGUGGCGAAGGCGGCUUACUGGACUGUAACUGACGUUGAGGCUCGAAAGCGUGGGGAGCAAACAGGAUUAGAUACCCCUGUAGUC
rnacentral:rRNA from 1 species